UACAGAGGUCUCAAGCGUUGUUCGGAUUCAUUGGGCGUAAAGGGUGCGUAGGUGGCGCGGUAAGUCGGGUGUGAAAUUUCGGAGCUUAACUCCGAAACUGCAUUCGAUACUGCCGUGCUUGAGGACUGGAGAGGAGACUGGAAUUUACGGUGUAGCGGUGAAAUGCGCAGAUAUCAGGAGGAACACCAAUGGCGAAGGCAGCUCGCUGGGACGGUACUGACGCUGAGACGCGAAAGCGUGGGGAGCAAACAGG
rnacentral:rRNA from 1 species